GACGAACGCUGGCGGCGUGCUUAACACAUGCAAGUCGAACGGAAAGGCCUGCUUGCAGGGUGCUCGAGUGGCGAACGGGUGAGUAACACGUGGGUGAUCUGCCCCUUACUUUGGGAUAAGCCUGGGAAACUGGGUCUAAUACUGGAUAGGACCAUGCUGUAGGUGGUGUGGUGGAAAGAUUAGUUUCGGUAAGGGAUGAGCUCGCGGCCUAUCAGCUUGUUGGUGGGGUAAUGGCCUACCAAGGCGUCGACGGGUAGCCGGCCUGAGAGGGUGGACGGCCACAUUGGGACUGAGAUACGGCCCAGACUCCUACGGGAGGCAGCAGUGGGGAAUAUUGCACAAUGGGCGCAAGCCUGAUGCAGCGACGCCGCGUGGGGGAUGACGGCCUUCGGGUUGUAAACUCCUUUCAGCCAUGACGAAGCCCUUGUGGUGACGGUAGUGGUAGAAGAAGCACCGGCUAACUACGUG
rnacentral:rRNA from 1 species